rnacentral:rRNA from 1 species
CCGAGUUGUAAUUUGUAGAGGAUGCUUUUGGUGAGGUGCCGCCCGAGUUCCCUGGAACGGGACGCCACAGAGGGUGAGAGCCCCGUCUGGCUGGCCGCCGAGCCUCUGUAAAGCUCCUUCGACGAGUCGAGUAGUUUGGGAAUGCUGCUCAAAAUGGGAGGUAUAUGUCUUCUAAAGCUAAAUAUUGGCCAGAGACCGAUAGCGCACAAGUAGAGUGAUCGAAAGAUGAAAAGCACCUUGAAAAGAGGGUUAAAUAGUACGUGAAAUUGUUGAAAGGGAAGCGCUUGUGACCAGACUUGGGCGCGGCGGAUCAUCCGGGGUUCUCUCCGGUGCACUUCGCCGCGUCUAGGCCAGCAUCAGUUCGUCGCGGGGGAAAAAGGCUUCGGGAACGUGGCUCCUCCGGGAGUGUUAUAGCCCGUUGCAUAAUACCCUGCGGUGGACUGAGGACCGCGCAUCUGCAAGGAUGC